GGUGAGUAAUGCUUGGGAAUCUGCCCAAUAGUGGGGGAAAACUCGGGGAAACCCGGGCUAAUACCGCAUAAUCUCUACGGAGGAAAGAGGGCCUCUACAUGUAAGCUCUCGCUAAUGGAUGAGCCCAAGUCAGAUUAGCUAGUUGGUAAGGUAAUGGCUUACCAAGGCUACGAUCUGUAGCUGGUCUGAGAGGAUGAUCAGCCACACUGGGACUGAGACACGGCCCAGACUCCUACGGGAGGCAGCAGUGGGGAAUAUUGCACAAUGGGCGCAAGCCUGAUGCAGCCAUGCCGCGUGUGUGAAGAAGGCCUUCGGGUUGUAAAGCACUUUCAGUAAGGAGGAAAGGUUAGUCACUAAUAUUGGCUAGCUGUGACGUUACUUACAGAAGAAGCACCGGCUAACUCCGUGCCAGCAGCCGCGGUAAUACGGAGGGUGCGAGCGUUAAUCGGAAUUACUGGGCGUAAAGCGUACGCAGGCGGUUUGUUAAGCGAGAUGUGAAAGCCCCGGGCUCAACCUGGGAACUGCAUUUCGAACUGGCAAACUAGAGUGUGAUAGAGGGUGGUAGAAUUUCAGGUGUAGCGGUGAAAUGCGUA
rnacentral:rRNA from 1 species